GAUGAACGCUGGCGGUGUGCCUAAUACAUGCAAGUCGAGCGAACAGACGAGGAGCUUACUCCUCUGACGUUAGCGGCGGACGGGUGAGUAACACGUGGAUAACCUACCUAUAAGACUGGGAUAGCUUCGGGAAACCGGAGCUAAUACCGGAUAACAUGUUGAACCGCAUGGUUCAACAGUGAAAGACGGUCUUGCUGUCACUUAUAGAUGGAUCCGCGUCGCAUUAGCUAGUCGGUAAGGUAACGGCUUACCAAGGCAACGAUGCGUAGCCGACCUGAGAGGGUGAUCGGCCACACUGGAACUGAGACACGGUCCAGACUCCUACGGGAGGCAGCAGUAGGGAAUCUUACGCAAUGGGCGAAAGCCUGACGGAGCAACGCCGCGUGAGUGAAGAAGGUCUUCGGAUCGUAAAACUCUGUUAUUAGGGAAGAACAAAUGUGUAAGUAACUAUGCACGUCUUGACGGUACCUAAUCAGAAAGCCACGGCUAACUACGUG
rnacentral:rRNA from 1 species